GCGCGCGGGGUUGGCUGCCGGGAGGUCGACGCUAGUGCGGUCCCCCGCGCGGCGGAGGGGCCCGGGCCGCGGUAUCUGCGCACUGAGACGUCGGCGGAAGGCUAGAGGCCGUGCUCUCGCCCCCGCAGAAGGCCACCACUCCUUGAGAAGGCCGGAGGGACAAAGCACCGGGCCUGCGCCGGGGGCAUUCAAGAAGGAAGCCAGGCCCGACCGGGGGUGGCGCACGCUUCCCGAACCCCAGGCCCACGGCCCGGUUCCGCGCGGGCAGUUGGCGCCCCCUCGGGUCGGCACAGCAGACCUCUUAGUAAUGGUCCCCAGGGAGUACAGGGACUGAGAAACGGAAAUACUACCAUCCUCCAGCCAAUCUGUUGGGAGGACUGCUUGCAGAGGACUCGUGCUCCAGAUGUUGCACUAGAGGCGCUGCAAGUGUGAGCAGCAGGUAGAUGAAACUCAAGAGAAAAGGUGUGGAUAAAUGAAACUAGCCCAUGAUGAACCUGUUUUCUCCGUGACCACAAUAUUAACCAGGAUGAAUGGCGGUGGCAGUGGGCCUGCAUCACAGGUUGCAGCAGAUGUUCUCAAUAUUUCUAUUAAAAUUUCCUUAUUUCCAUAUGCAAGAGGAGCCCCAGAGCUGCAUCCUUAUGGUAGCUACCAUGCCGUGAUGUAAGCUGCCAUUCACUGGGGAGCUUUGGCAAUAGAAUUGGCUAGAUCAGGAAGCCUAUGUCAACUAUGGAACAACAACUUGCAGCUCAUCUCUAUUGAUGGACCUCUAACAAUGAUAUUGGAAGAAUAGAUACUAAGUCUUGGAGAGGUGAAACAGUCGCAAAUGGAAUUCCAAGAAACAUUCUAUCAUCAGGUAUUAUCUACUGCUGUCUGCAGAAUUCAGACAUGGAGGGCUCAAUGGUGUCCCCUGGUCUUUGGAACAUUCUGUAUUUUAAUGAUCAUGAUACACUGCCUCUAGGACUGGGACAGAUAGCCACUGAGUACCUGCUUCAAAUCACCCUGCACGUUUUCUCUUUGGAAAGAUAAGCACUGGAGAACCAUCUCGUUACCUUCAGCAGAAAUGGAAACAAAUCAAGACAUUAAGAAUGCCGCAGUGGACAGCAGUUAUGCAAGGUUCAGCAGAGGAAGUUUUCAAGAUGGUGUGCCUCACUAGCCAGAAAUCAGAAAAGAUCGAAGCUAGCCUUUUCAUCUCAGCUGCUCCUUAAAUCAGUGCAACCCCUCCAAAUUAAUGUGAAUUGAAACUUGCAUUGCUUUUCAACUUAAUUGAAUACUUACUAUAUGUGAACCACUGCACAAAAUAGGGGAAGAAGAUGUGGGAGACAAAGAUGUGGAGCCUGUCUUCAAUAAAUUUACAGUUAGUUUCAGGGUACAUUGUUUUUCUUCUGCUGUUAAUUAGGUGUAUCCCCAAGACAAUAAAUACAUGAAUGGAAAA
rnacentral:lncRNA from 1 species